CCUACGGGAGGCAGCAGUCGAGAAUCAUUCACAAUGGGGGAAACCCUGAUGGUGCGACGCCGCGUGGGGGAAUGAAGUAUCUCGGUACGUAAAGCUCUAUCAGCAGGGAAGAAAAUGACGGUACCUGACUAAGAAGCCCCGGCUAACUACGUGCCAGCAGCCGCGGUAAUACGUAGGGGGCAAGCGUUAUCCGGAUUUACUGGGUGUAAAGGGAGCGUAGACGGCAGCACAAGUCUGGAGUGAAAUCCCGGGGCUUAACCCCGGAACUGCUUUGGAAACUGUGCGGCUGGAGUGCAGGAGGGGUAGGCGGAAUUCCUAGUGUAGCGGUGAAAUGCGUAGAUAUGAGGAGGAACACCGGUGGCGAAGGCAGCUUACUGGACUGUAACUGACGUUGAGGCUCGAAAGCGUGGGGAGCAAACAGGAUUAGAUACCCUAGUAGUC
rnacentral:rRNA from 1 species